rnacentral:lncRNA from 1 species
AAGACGCACAAAUGCAUUUUAUUGAAGAGUAUAGUAGCUGUCUUGUAACCAGCUGUUACAAGAAGCAUGGCUCUGGAAAGGACGCAAAAAGAACUUCCAACGGCCAAAGCUACAUAAACAAUUAUGAGAGUAGAACCUCUAACUGCAGGUUUCACAUCAUCUGACACGGGACUUGCCCAAGCCAUCCAAUAAUUGCUUCCAAUCUGAAGCAGCUGAAAGAGAAUCUGUGACAACAAUAUAAAGGGCACAAGAGCUCCUCCAUAUGCUGUCCUGAUGUAUUUCCAAUAAACCCAUAGCCCAACUUUACCUUUCUCUCUCUCCUCUUCUUGAACAAGCUGACCUUUUGUCCCAUCUAUCUCCUCUGCUUUACCAUUUUGGCCACCUCUGUUUUCUUCUUUUUCAACUACUUCAGAAGUACCACCAAUAUUAUCACUAUCCUCAUGGAUACUUAAUUUUUCUGAAAGUGACCCUGCCUCUACAGAAUUGAGUGCUAACAAAGCUUUCUUAUGUGCACCAACAAGUUCCAUAAAAUCAGUUCCAGAGUUGAGAAUUUCAUUGUACUUUCCUGCUUGUGUAACCCUUCCAUCUUUCAUGACCUGCAGGUAUGCUACAUUUCUUAAGUUUAUCUAAAACAAAGGCAAGGAAGAAAAAACACUGUAAUUACUCACCAGUAUGAGAUCAGCAGCAGGUAAGAACUCUACUUGAUGUGUAACAUAAAUCACUGUUUUCGAACCCAAGAGACCCAGCAAACAUUCCUGUUAUAUGAAGAUUACUUACAAAUACGAUCAAUGAAAGAUUUUUUUUUUUUCAUUUAAUAUAUAUAAUAAAAGGGAAAGGAAACAAAACAAAGGGCAAUGGCAUAGCAAGGGUCCCUAAUUACCUCAGCCAGACCAAGAACCAAAUCUUAUAUAGCCCAUAGCAGUGCAUAUUAAAACAUACAAGGAUAGCUCAUUUUCUACUUAAUGCAAUGGCAUUGUAUAGAUAAUAUGUUGUUUUACUUCAUAUAUAUAUAUAUAUAUAGAUCAAACUCAGGCUUUUAUAAGAGAAAAAAAUUACCUUAAAGAGAUGGGUUCCUGUAUGAGCAUCCACGGCACUGAAGGGGUCAUCAAACAGAUAAAUAUCAGCAUUUUGGUAGAGCGCACGUGCAAUCUGUAUUCUUUGCUUCUGGCCACCACUCAUAUUGAUUCCCCACUCACCUAUUACUGUCUGAUCACCAAAUGAGAGAACCUCCAGGUCCUUCUUUAAGGAACAUGCAUCAAGGACCCUUUCAUACCUUUCUCUUUCCAUCUCCUUACCAAACAAGAUGUUCUCUUCUAUCUUGCCACUCUGUAUCCAAGGAGACUGAGCAAUCUAAAGAACCAGUGCCUCACUGAAAGGCACUCAACAAGCUUCGCAACAAAAAAAGCCAUAGCCAAAAGAUAGCCUUCAUUUUUGAAUUCCCUUCGCCCAUUGAGAUAUUGAACGAAGGUAUCAAUAAGAUAGGGCCCAACAUAAGAUGCUAAUGUGUUUACAAGUACCAAGAAAGCCGUCAAUAGGAUUUCUGCCCAGCAUGCAAAGAUCAAUGCUUUCACCAGCUUAAGCGUGGUCACUCCACUACUUCCACCACUAUCACACUGGAGCUUAUUACUAAAUGCUGGAAAGACCCCCGCAACGCUGUUGCUGGUAUCAAGCUGAGGAACAUCCUCAAGGUCUAAUGUUUUCUUGUUACCCUCAGCAAUCAAGGGACCGAUCCAAGAGAAAGUAAGAAGGCUAAAAAAACUAGCUUUUGAAAAGGGGGUCACAGUUGCUUCCCCCUUGGAUUUAUUAGACUCCACUCUACUUAUACUGGUACUACCAUUCAAAAGGGGUUCCCUAAGAAUCGAUUCCUCGCCUUGAUUCUUUCCCAAAAAUCCCGAAUAGCACAAGAACAGACCAGUUAUGACGUAGACAAUAUCGGGCACCAAAUAUUGAAUUCGUAGGGACUGGUGUCUCUUGACAAUAUCUAGAACAAGGCAAUAACAUGAGAUGGAGAAGUAAAAUCCCCACCAAACUCUUAACAAAAAUGGGAACUUUGGUUCAACAGAACCAAUGAAUUGAGUGUGCAAAUAUACACAAACUGCUCCCCAGGCAAGUGUUCUGAGCACUAAAUCCAAAAGGGUCACCAGCCUUUCAUCAGACCAGCCAUUUCUAUACCAAUAAAAGUAGUUCAAAAAACACAACAACAAAUUCAACAGCGACAGACCCUGACAGCAAGCAAACGUUUGCUUAUAGUACAAAAACCUAGUCCUCUUACAAUUUUCAGGAGCACCCCCCUUGAUUCUCUUGCACACCCAUGAUACAAAUAGGAGAAGCAACAAAACUAGAUGCAAUGAGGCAGAAAAUGCACGUAAAAAGACGGGGUUUAGCAGAAAACCAGUACCUGAAUACGUAACCAUGGCUUCGAAUCCCACCAUUUUUUGAGAAUCUUUGGCCUCUGCUAAAAGGGUAUUUUGGAGGUGUGCUUAUGAAUGGAAAGGGAUGAUUUCUGGUGCUUUAUAUACGAAAAAAAAGACGGUAGGUCCCCGGUUUUAAGAGCGUAUUCCACAAAGUAAGUCAGUCAAAGGAUAUUUCCUUGGGCGCGGGAUAACUUGGCAGCCAAGCUUCAGUUGACGGAGAUAGUGAGGAAGCGUGGCAGGCACGAAGAGAGAGAACUUUAAGGAGAUCGAGACAAUUUUAUUGUUUCUAUUUUUUUUUUUUAUUGAUUAUCCUUUUUGUAGAAUUUUUAUUUCCAAAACCCAAACACAUUUAGAUUUCAUUCUAACCAACUACUUACUGGUGUCAUAAAUAUUUAGGAUUUUUAUUUAUUUAUAAUCAUCGAUGUUCGGACCAGUUUACGAGUCUAGUAAAUUUCCCGUGGCUUUGAGAGAACUCGAAUUGAUGACGGGAAACAAACUUAAGAUGGGACUAAUUGAACAAUCCCUCAAGGUUAUAAAUAUUUGAGAAAUUUUUUUCUAUUAUUUUAUUUUCUAUAAUAUUUCUUAGAGACAAAUUUCAAACAACCAUGAUAAAAUAAAAAAAUUUAUUUAGCACUUUAAUUUUAAUUAUCAUUAUUUAUUGAAAUUUAAAUUCAAUUAUGAAAUUUCAUUUCUUUUUAAGUAGAAAAUGAAUUGAAUCCCCCUUUCAUCAUCACAAUGACUAUAUUUAUUAAAAGUCAAAAUUAUAGUAGGAGUCAUAAUUGGCAGUUCAUCUUGUCAUCUUGUGUUUUGCUUCUAAACAACCGGUCAAAAAAUAACCUUAAAAAUAGGCUACACAAAAUGUGGAGAUUCCAAAAUAUUGGUUUUAUAUAUGUAUAUAUUUAUCUUUUUGGGGUAGAGCAUGUGGAUAUCCAUGAAAGACAAAAUACUUUCUGCUCCACCAUCUGGCUGGAAAGUCCCACUUUGGCGGACCACAGGAGGGUCGGGAUUCACAGGACCACAAAGCCUUGAAAAUUAGGGCCACUCACAUGACUUUAUAUGCAACAAUGACAUAUAACCAAUUCCCUAUUUAUGAUGCCACUGAUUUUCUAGCCACGUGUUUGACUAUUGAAUAAUUAUUGUGGAAUUAUUUUCUUUUGAUGUAUGUAUCGUGUAAGUUUCUAAAAGUUAAAAAUGGGUUCACUUUUAGUGAUUUACACUUAAAAGGAAUUGAAGUUCUGAAAUGUUGGAGAAGAACUUCAAGGGGAAAUUUUAAAAUAAGGAAGUGAUGAUAUGAUUAAGAUAGUUAGGGUAAAGAUUAAAAAUUAGAUUUAUGGUUAAUUAUAAUGUUUUCAGAAUCGGAUCGGUUAUUGAAUUGAAAAAAUUACUGGUUCACGAUUCAUUGGUCGGACCGACGGUUGAACCGCGAUCGAAUCGAUGAUGUCAUAAAUAUACAAUUUAUAAAUGAUUAAAAUUUAAAAUAAUUAUAAAAAUAAAAAUAAUAUUUUAUAUAUUAUUUAAAAAUUAAAAUUUUAUUUAAAAAUCAUAAAAUUAGUUUCAAAUUAGAAAUUUAAAUUAAAAUCAUAAUUUUAAUUUAAAAUUUAAAAUUUUAAUAUUUAUUUUUAAAUAAAAAACUUAUUUUAAAAUCAAAAAUUUAUUUAAAAUUGUAAUGUUUUUAAUUUUACCAUCAAACCAUAUCUCAUACCAUCCAUGUAAAUCCAUAUAAAAGGCAUUUUUUACUUUAUCAAUUUGAGCUUUCAAUCUCCACAACACUGUUGCUGUGAAGACUAAUAAAUAAACCAAAAAAGAAAAAUUUAUAAAAAUUGAAUAUUAAACAUAAUAUCAUAGUAAAAAAACACAUAAAAAUUAUUAAAUAUAAAACAUAAAAAAUAAUUUUGAAAAUAUCAACUUGCAGCUACUGGGCAGAGUCGGAAGGCGCACACAAUCGGGUUUUCCGGAGAGGAACUUUGAUCGGGGGGAUGGUUGCAACGGGUUUUGCAUCGGGGCGGUCAAGAGGGCGGGCAAGCGAUGUAACGACUGGGGAAACCACUGGUGGAAGCUGGCGUAGGUGUCGCAGCGUGUUGGGGGGCGAUAGCUUCUUUACCUUCAAUUCAGAUGGAGAAAGAAGGGUUAAGGUGUUUUUAUGUCACGCCCCAAGACCCACUCCAAGGGCGUGACGGUCAUUUCACACCUCAAACUCGGAGGGUUAAAGUGUAACUUGACCCAAACAAUUAUCUUGUAACUAGAAGUUACCAAUUACCAAAUACUUGUUCAGAGUAGCGGAACAAAAUUCUAAAAUCUUCAAAACUCAACUUUAAAACUAAGCAUCCAUCAACCAAAAUCCAUUAUCCAAAUAGAUUGCAAACUCAAACAAUUCAAGUUCUAACAAAACUUUCAUAAUCUCCAAAUCUCAACUUCAAACUAUCAUAAAAAAAAAAUUUAAAAGUUCAAUAUCUAAAUAGCUUCCAAAAACCAAAUAAUCCAAAUGAACAUAAACUUAUAAGCUAACAAUGUCCAAAAAUAACAUCCUAAGCAAAAUCCUAAUGAUGACCAUUCCCUGACCCAACCAUCACUUCUUGUCCGAACUAAGGGUACCUGAAAAGUAAUCAAUAAAGGGGAAUGAGCUCAAAGCCCAAUAAGGAAUAUUAAUAUAGUUUCAUGGAUCAAAUAGUUUCAAUUAUGCUUACAAAUAGGAGAUUUAGUGUAAAAUCCUUUUCAUAAGAACAUUUGAGUACAAAUAUGCUAAUACAUUUUAAGGUGUUUAACCAAACAUUUUCCUAUAUAUCAAAAUCAUUUUAUAUUCAUUUUAAAUCAAAUACAUUUCAAUUGUUUUCACUCUGGUUAACAAAUAACAAAUAGUGCCCAUUUAAGUGGGACUUUACAAAUAGGUGGCUAGCCUCAAAUGUUCAUUUUAAGGUGGAUGGAACCAAACACUACUAGUACUAGUAACCUCUAACCAAACCCUUACAGGGUGGGGUUCAAACCAAACCCUUAGAGGAUGGGGUUCAAACCAAUUACAUUUCCCACCACGAAAAUGUAAAGAUCAACUAUUAUAUCCCGUUGACAAUGGCAAAAAAGUCAACUAUUUUAUCCCGUUGACAAAGGCUAAAUAAACCAAAGUCAAAUUCUUUAAUUUAUUUAUUUCAACUUACAAAUGCAGAAAAUCUCCAAGUAUUUCAAUAUAAACAAAAUAAAUGUUAUAACACAUUUUUCCAUACAAAAAUAUAUUUGAUUCAUGCUUAAAAGCAAAAUUAACAAUUACACAUUUCAAAUAACACAAACAAACAAACACACACACACACACACACACACAUACACACACACACACACACACACACACAUAUAUAUAUAUAUAUAUAUAUAUAUAUAUAAUUAUUUUCUUUUGCAAAAUCUGUAUUAAUUUCCCUUACCUCAAAAGAAGUCCUAAAAAAGUUGGAAGAAAAAUAAUUCUAGAAAAUUUGCUCUUCAGCUAAUAAAAGAUAAGAGAAAUAACCAUUACUAUUUAUCUAAAAUUAUAGGUUUGACAAUCCUAAAAUUUUAGGUAUUCAAAUUAAUGUUUUUAAUUAUGAAAGAUAAUUUAAUCUAUUUUUAUUUUAAAAAAAUUAAUAAAUCUAAUUCAUAUAAAACUUAAAUUUUAUUUUCAAUUUAUUUCUUAGGACAUAACAUAAUUUAAUUAAAUUACAAUUUAUUCUACUAAUUAAAUUUUAUGCUACUUAUUAACUUGCACUCAUCAUUAGUAUAUAAUAUUGAUAACUUCUAUUCUCUCACUUUCAGUUUUUUUUUUUCACUAAACAUAAAUUGUAUCCCCAACAAUUCUCCAUUAUUGCUAACAUAAUAUAUAUAUAUUAACCACCAAACACCAUCCGUACACAUCUUCCUUUAUUAUUAAUAUUACUAUAUAUUUUUUUCUUUUCACCAUUCUCCAUCUUCCACAAGCACACAUUCUUCUUUUUUUUUUUUAAAAAAAAACUUCCUCUAGUGCACACACGUUCUUUUUCUUUCUUUCUUUUUUGCCCUAAUAUUUUCUAAUCCCUUAAGCCACAUAUAACAAUAUAUUUAUGUGCUCAUUUAUUUUUAUAUUUUUUUUUAAAAAAAAUCAUUACUUAGAUCUAUUCAUCUAAGAAAUUUUGAAUUUCCCUAUUUUCAUCAAUAGAACAAUUUAUAUUCCUAAUUUCAAUAUUUUGACCUAAAAGUUUUAAAUAGGUCAACCUUAACCUGAAUCGAGAUCUUCUAGAUAAUCAUUUUUUUUUUAACUUAAGAUUUCCCAAUUUCUGACAAUAAAACCAGCAAUAAUCCUAAAUUUCCAAUAUUUUGAUAUUAAAACGAAUUAAAAAAAUAAACUAACCCUAAUCUAAAUAAAAAAAAUUCAAAGAAUAACUAGCGUGUUCAAAUAUAAAUAACGAAUAUAAUAUAUUAAUUUAGGGUUAGAAUCUUACCAGGAAAAAAAACUUGAACUUCAACUCUGAAUCUCUAACCCUUGAGCCCUAUGAUCUCCAACUCUCUACUUCUGGUUGAUAGAGUUUUCUAAAUGAAGAAAACAAGAGAAAAAGUCCAAUUUAUACCUAGGAUUUUUAAUUGUAAAAGGACUCUUUCACUUUAAUGAAUUUAAUUAAUUACUUAAUUACUUUAUAAAUUACUAGUUUGCCCCUAGAUUAAAUUUUGGGGUGUUACAUCCUCCCUUCCUUAAAAAAGUUUAGUCCUCUAAACUUGACAUACUUGGGUCUUGAAAAAGAUGUGGGUGCUUUUUUCUUAUCUCCUCUUCUAAUACCCAAGUGGCUUCUCGAAUAUUGUGAUUGCUCCAUUGGAUUUUUACUAACUUGACAACAGCAUGACAUAGUACCUUGUCCAUCACAUCCAUAAUCUGAACGGGCACCUCUUCAUAGGUCAAGUCCUUAGAAAUUUGAAUAGGCUCCAACUCCACAACAUGAGAAGGAUCAUAAAUAUAUUUCCUCAAAGUCGAAACAUGGAAUACAUUAUGAAUCUUAGAUAGACUUGGGGGCAAGGCCACUUUAUAAGCCAAAUUGCCUACUCUUUCUAAUACCUUAAAUGGUCUCACAAAACGAGGACCGUAUUUCCCUUUUCUUCCAAAUCUCAUUAUAGACUUCAUAGGUGAAACUUUCAAGAAAACAUGAUCACCCACCUCAAACUCCAAAUCUCGUCUGCGAUUAUCAGCAUAACUUUUCUGUCUACUUUGUGCUGUUUUCAAUAUUUCUUUAAUUAAAGAGACCUUUUCAACAGUCAACUGCACAAGUUCAGGCCCCAAAAGUUUCUUCUCUCCAACAUCAUCCCAACAAACAGGAAACCAACAUCUCCUACCAUAUAAAGCCUCAAAAGGUGUCAUCCCAAUGGUAGCUUGAAAGCUAUUAUUAUAGGCAAACUCCACUAGGGGCAAAUAAUCAUCCCAAUUACCUUUUAGGUCUAAAGCAUAAGCUCUCAACAAAUCUUCCAAGACCUGAAUUACCCUCUCUGAUUGACCAUCAGUCUGCGGAUGAAAAGUAGUACUAAAACUCAACUUAGUACCUAAUGGUUUUUGUAAACUAUGCCAAAAUCUAGAAGUGAAAUGAGGAUCUUUGUCAAGUACUAUAGAAACAGGUACACCAUGCAUUCUCACAAUCUCCUUAAUAUAAAGAGAAGCCAAACGAUCCAUAGAAAAAUUUACUUUCAUAGGCAGAAAAUGAGCAAACUUUGUCAAUUGAUCCACAAUUACCCAAAUAGCAUUAUUACCCCCUAAGGUUCUUGGCAACCCUGUUACAAAGUCCAUGGUAAUAUGUUCCCAUUUCCAUUCAGGAAUAGAAAGUGGUUGUAAUGAUCCUGCUGGUCAUUGAUGCUCAGCUUUCACCUAUUGGCACACCAAACACUGAGUCACAAAUCUUGCAAUAUCCCACUUCAUACUUGGCCACCAAUAAUUUUGCUUCAAAUCUCUAUACAUCUUCAUCCCUCUUGGGUGGAUUGCAAACUUAGAACAAUGAGCUUCUUCCAAUAGCUCUCUCCUUAAAUCUCCAUAAUUUGGGACACAAAGUCUAGUCACAAAUCUCAAAAUCCCAUCAUCUGAUCAGACAAAGUCAGGCUUACUACCCCUCUUAACUUCCUCCAUAAGCUGCACUAAUUGCAUAUCAUUCUUUUAUAGGGUCUUAAUUUUCCCAACCAAGUCUGGUUGCACUCUAAAGUUUUCCACAAGAGCUCUAGAGUCCAAAACCCUUAUAUGGAGUUGUAAACUCCUCAAAUAUUCCAAUAAUUGCCUCCGACAACCUCUAAUAGCUGCUAAGGAACCAACAGAUUUCUUGCUCAAGGCGUUAGCCACAACAUUCGCCUUCCCUGGGUGAUACUGAAUAAUGCAGUCAUAGUCUUUAAGUAGUUCAAUCCACCUUCUCUGUCUCAUGUUCAAUUCCUUUUGGGAAAAUAAAUACUUCAAACUCUUAUGAUCUGUGAAUAUCUCACAAGUUUCACCAAAAAGAAAAUGUCUCCAGAUCUUAAGUGCAAAAACCACUAUAGCUAACUCCAAUUCAUGAGUAGGAUAAUUUCGUUCAUAAGGCUUCAACUGUCUAGAAGCAUAAACUACAAAUUUCCCAUGUUCCAUAAGAACACAACCCAAACCCUGACGAGAGACAUCACUAUACACCACAAACCCUCCUAAGCUUGAAGGGAUAGUUAAAAUAGGAGUUGUCAUUAAUCUAUUCUUUAACUCUUGGAAACUAUGUUCACAAUCAUUAAACCACUCAAACUUAACCCUUUUCUGAGUCAAUCUGGUCAGAGGUAGGGCGAUCUUAGAGAACCCCUCAACAAACUGCCUAUAAUAACCAGCCAGUCCUAGGAAACUUCGAAUUUCGAUCACAGUAUUAUGUCUCCUCUAAUUUGACACAACAUUUACCUUUCCAAGGUUAAUAAAGAUGCCAUCCUUGGUCACCACAUGCCCAAGGAAAGAGACUUUGUUUAACCAGAACUCACACUUCUUUAAUUUAACAUACAAUUGCUUAUCUCUGAGAGUCUGCAAUACAAAACUCAAAUGGCGCUCAUGCUCCCCCCUACUCCUUAAGUACACCAAAAUAUCAUAUAUAAAAACCACCACAAACUAAUCUAAAUAGGGCUUGAAUACCCUGUUCAUUAAGUCCAUAAAAGUAGUAGGUGCCUUAGUCAAACCAAAAAGCAUAAGCAAAAACUCAAAAUGCCCAUAUCUAGUUUGAAAAGCAGUUUUGGAUACAUCUUCACUUCUAAUCCUUAACCGAUGAUAACCAAACCGAAGAUCAAUAUUAGAGAACACACAUGCACCCUAAAGUUGAUUAAACAAAUCAUCAAUCCGACGAAGGGGAUACUUGUUCCUCACCGUCACAUUAUUCAACUCUCUAUAAUCAAUGCAGAGUCUCAUAGAUCCAUCAUUCUUCUUUACAAAUAAAAUAGGAGCUCCCCAAGGUGAAAUACUAGGCCUAAUGAAGCCCUUAUCUAACAACUCCUGAAGUUGAAUCUUCAACUCCUUAAGCUCCAUAGGUAUUUUCCUGUAAGGGGUCUUAGAGAUAGGAGUUGUCCUUGGUGCCAAAGCAAUGGUGAACUCCAUCUCUCUCUCUAGUGCCAAGCCAGGUAGAUCCUUUGGAAAGACAUCAAGAUGGUCCCUUAUAAUGGGUAUGUCUUCCAACUUUAAAUCAUUUUUCCCAUUCAUAACAUAAGCCAAAAAGCCUUGACAACCUUUCCUGAGCAAAGAACUAGCUCGCAAGGUUGAGAUCAUAUGCAAUGGUUUGUUCACAUGCUUCCCCUCAAAACUAAAAUCAGCCUAACCAGGAAUGCUAAACGUCACUCUUUUCCUAAAACAAUCAAUAGAUGCAUGGUAUGAAGCUAACCAAUCCAUCCCCAAAAUCACAUCAAAAUCCUCGAGGUCAAAAAGUACUAAGUCAAAUGUUAUCUCUCUAUACCCAAUCAUCACACUACAAUCUCUAAGUAUUUUAUUAACCACAACAAAAUCUCCAAAGGAGUAGCAACAAAUAAAUCAAAGUCCAUGUUAUCAAUCAACAUACCCAACAAACCAGCAAAAAAUACGGAAACAAAAAAGUGCGUUGAACCAGGAUCAAUCAAGGCUCUAGAAAAUAAGGUAUGAAUUCGAAGAGUACCUAUUACCACAUCAGAAGUAGCCUGGGCAUUUCUAUGAGUCAUAGUAAAUACCCGCCCUUGAGCCCUAGGUUUCUGUCUAUCAUUUUUAUUCUCCUCCUUAGGCUUCCCAAAUGCAAACUUCUUAUUCUUUAGACAAUCCCGAACCAUAUGUCCCUAUUUUCCACACCUAAAGCAAGCCUCUGUCUCUCUGAAGUAUGGCCUACCCCCAUGCUUCUUACCAUAAGUAGGACAAAUCCCAUCUAAAUUUUGUGCUGCUUUUCCUUUAUUCUGAUUUCUACUUAGAGCAGACUUUUUCUGUGCUUGGUUACCAUGAGCACCAUCAUUUCUAUUCCACUUCCUUUGUUGUUCCCUAUACUGGUGAAGCUUUUCAUUAUCCUUCUCUGCAAUAAGGGCUUUGUCUACCACCUGUGAAUAAACACUAAGCUUCAUAAUUGAUAUCUUAUUCUUCAGAUAAGGCUUCAGUGCAUCUUGAAACUUUAAUGCUUUUUUCUCCUCUAUAGCAAUCAACUGUGGGACAAAACGUGAUAGUUCAGUAAACUUAGCCUCAUACUAGGCCACCAUCAAAUUUCUGUAUUCCAAACGGACAAACUAUCCCACCUUUUGUCGUCGAACACUGUCAGGAAAGUACUUCUUAUAAAAAGCCUCUCUAAACUGACUCCAAACAAUAGGCCCCUGAUCCUCCAAAAGCCUAUUAGUCAUACGCCAUCAAUGGUCUGCCUCUUUGUCUAACAUAAAUGCUGUAUAAGAGGCUUUUUGCACAUCAGAACAAUCAAUGACAUCAAAGAAUUUUUGUAUCUUCAUAAUCUAAGUCUUUGCCUCAGUUGGAUCUAAAGGACUAGAAAAGUAAGGGAGACCCUACUUCUUAAAGUCAUCAAAGGAGCUACCUCUAGUAGAUGAGGAUUGUCCUUAACCAUUACUUCCAGUAGCUCUAGCCUGACGCUCAACCAAGCCAGCCAAAGUCCCUAAAUAUCUAUAAAGACCUUCAAUACUCAUAGUGGGCAAAGCCUCAAGUGGAGAAGGUAUAUCAUCAUUAGGCUGACUAUUUUGGGAAGAUGCAAGUCUCCUUGGUGGCAUGGUGUCCUAUAAAGCAAUACGUAUAACUAAAUUAGUCACUAAGAAGCCAAAUAAGCAAAUUAAAAAUUUAAGGAAUAAAAGGAAUCAUACUAGAUGAAGUUGAAACUUAAACUAAUGUGUCACUCAUCUAUUUCCAAAGGUAAACUAAACAAGUUCUCAUCAAGAUCAUAACUUGGUGCUUUGAUACCACACUGUCACACCCCAAGACCCACUCCAAGGGCGUGACGGUCAUUUCACACCUCAAAUCCGAAGGGUUAAAGUGUAACCUUACCCAAAUAAUUAUCUUGUAACUAGAAGUUACCAAUUACCAAAUACCUGUUUAGGGUAGUAGAACAAAAUUCUAAAAUAUUCAAAACUUAACUUUAAAACUAAACACAUAAACCAAAAUCCAUUAUUCAAAUAAAUUGCAAACUCAAACAAUUCAAGUGCUAACAAAACUUUCAUAAUCUCCAAAUCUCAACUUCAAACUAUCAUAAAAAAAAUUUACAAGUUCAAUAUCUAAAUAACUUCCAAAAACCAAAUAAUCCAAAUGAAUAUAAACUUAUAAGCUAACAAUGUCCGAAAAUAACAUUCUAAGCAAAAUCCUAAUGAUGACCAUUCCCCAACCUAGCCAUCACUCCUCGCCCAAAUUAAGGGUACCUGAAAAGUAAUCAACAAAGGAGAAUGAGCUCAAAGCCCAAUAAAGAAUAUUAAUAUAGUUUCAUAGAUCAAAUAGUUUCAAUUAUGCUUACAAAUAGGAGAUUUAGUGUAAAAUCAUUUUCAUAAGAACAUUUGAGUACAAAUAUGCUAAUACAUUUUAAGGUGUUUAACCAAACAUUUUCCUAUAUAUCAAAAUCAUUUCAUAUCCAUUUCAAAUCAAAUACAUUUCAAUUGUCUUCACUCUGGUUAUCAAAUAACAAAUAGUGUCCAUUUAAGUGGGACUUUACAAAUAGGUGGCUAGCUUCAAAUGUUCCUUUUAAGGUGGACGGAACCAAACACUACUAGUACUAGUAACCUUUAACCAAACCCCUAGAAGGUGGGGUUCAAAUCAAUUACAUUUCCCACCACGAAAAUGUAAAGGUCAACUAUUAUAUCCCGUUGACAAGGGCUAAACAAACUAGAGUCAAAUUCUUUAUUUUAUUUAUUCUAACUUACAAAUGCAGAAAAUUCCCAAGUAUUUCGAUAUAAACAAAAUAAAUGUUAUAACACAUUUUUCCAUACAAAAAUAUAUUUGAUCCAUGCUUAAAAGCAAAAUUAACAAUUACACAUUUAAAUAUAUAUUUUCUUUUACAAAAUUUGUAUUAAUUUUCCUUACCUCAAAAGAAGUCCUCAAAAACUUGGAAGAAAAAUAAUUCUGGAAAAUCUACUCUUCACCUAACAAAGUAUAAGAGAAAUAGCCAUUACAUUUAUCUAAAAUUAUAGGUUUAACAAUCCUAAAAUUUUAGGUAUUCAAAUUAAUGUUUUUAAUUAUGAAAGAUAAUUUAAUCUAUUCCUAUUUUAGAAAAAUUAAUAAAUUUCUAAUUCAUAUAAAACUUGAAUUUUAUUUUCAAUUUAUUUCUUAGGACACAACAUAAUUUAAUUAAACUACAAUUUAUUCUACUAAUUAAAUUUUAUGCUACUUGUUAACUUACACUCAUCAUUAGUAUAAUAAUAUUGAUAACUUCUAUUCUCUCACUUUCAGUUUUUUUUUUUUUUUCAGUAAACAUAAACUGUAUCCCUAACAAUUCUCCAUUAUUGCUAACAUAAUAUAUAUAUAUAUUAACCGCCAAACACCAUCCGUACACUUCCUCUAGUGCACAUGCGUUCUCUUUCUUUCUUUUUUUUUUUUCCCUAAUAUUUCUAAUCCCUUUAGCCACAUAUAACAAUAUAUUUAUUUACUCAUUUAUUAUUAUUUUUUUAAAAAAAAUCAUUACUUAGAUCUAUUCAUCUAAGAAAUUUUGAAUUUCCCUAUUUUCAUCAUUAGAAUAAUCUAUAUUUCUAAUUUCAAUAUUUUGACCUAAAAGUUUUAUAUAAGUUAACCCUAGCCUAAAUCGAAAUCUUCUAGAGAAUAAUUUUUUUUAAAACCUAAGAUUUCCCAAUUUCUAACAAUAAAAACCACCAAUAAUCCUAAAUUUCUAAUAUUUUGAUAUUAAAAUGAAUUAAAAAAAUAAACUAACCCUAAUCUAGAUUAAUUUUUUUUUGAAAGAAUAACUAGCGUGUUCAGAACUAAUUAACGAAUAUAAUAUAUUAAUUUAAAGUUAGAAUCUUACUUGGAAAAAAAAACCUGAACUUCAACUCUGAAUCUAUAACCCUUGAACCCUAUGUGAUUCAUUCCCAAUUGGUGUCUCAGUUGAUUCAUAUCCUCUCAAUGGUCCCUGACAGUGGUGCCAUUUGAUUCAUGUCCAGCUAGUGUCCCUUGAUUUUGGUCCUCAGAAAGGAGUAAUCAACAAAAUUUAUAACCUAUUACACCAUGAACUAGGGUAGCAAAGACAAAGCUACUAUAGCAUAGUGGCUCUAGGAUCGUUCACUGGGAUGGGUUUUCACUCCACAAUUGAUAUCAAUUCAAAGUUGAAUUGGUGCCUUUUCAUUUCAAGGUUAGCUUUAAAAGAAAACAUAAAGAUGUUUGAAUGAAAAAGGUUUGGUUUUAAACUAACCAAAAAUAGUAACUGAUUUUACUUACAAAGAAAAGUGUUUCUUGGAGUUUUAGAUCACUAGGCUCAGAUUCCUCAUACAAAAAGGGAGUUCCGAUCACUUGUUUCUUUUCCUUGCAUUAGAGAAUUAACAUAUAGUUCAUUCUCCAACCGGUGUGGUACAGAUGCUCCCCAUUAAUGGGUUCAAACACUAAAUCCCUCUCACUGAUACAUCUUGCAAUGGCUCGUGCCUCUCACCUAGCAUUUGCCAUUCAAGGUGAUCUUUAACCUUGGAUUACCCGUCAAAAGCUCGCAAGAGAUAACUAAUGGAUGUCUCCUUAGAGUCCAAAAGCUUACCAAGUGUUGGCUAUUCUAGAAAAUCCUACCUUCAAACCACCUCCCAAAGGCUCGCAAGAGAUAAACUAGUGCAUCUCAAUGGACGAAGAACACUUGCCUUACCAAGUGUUGGCCCAGGUGAUUUAAAGGCGUUUUAAGUUAACUAAAAAGAUAAAAACUAUUAACGGGUCACACUUUCUCUUCAUUAAAAACUAAAACAACAAAACUUCCAAUUUAUGCAUGUGGAAACUUACCCGGCUUUCUUCACUCCAAGAGAUGAAGAGCCUAGCCUCUUAUUCUCUGAGGAAAAAUCCUCAGAGUUUGGUUGGCUAAAAAGAAAAAGUAAAUAAUAUACAAUACAAUCAAAACGAGAAGGUAAGGCAGAGCAAAGGCUCUGUAUUUUACUUCCUUGCAAAACUGUACAAAGGAUUGAUCUCUGAGAACAAGCUCCCGAGAUGAUUUGUAAAGAAAAUUACAAAACUAUAUAUAAGGGGUUAUUCACCCUUUGUUCUUACUUAAAGACUAAGGAAUCCUAUGAUAGGUGGGUUAGAAAGAGACUUUGGGAAUUUUGAAAUCAAAUAUCUAAAGAAAAAUGUCUCAAAAUGUCGGUCGCACAUAUCGAGAAGCUUCAGGAGAACAUCGCGACACUGUGCAAAAUGGUUGUGAAACUCUCUGGGUAAGCGCUAUCAGAGGAUUCGGAUAUGUCUGAUCGGGGAAAUUGAAACGCCCUCCUCUCCCAUCUGGCGUCAGGCGCCGGAUGUGAAAUAUCCGGAGAAGGUGCUGGAUGUGAAAUAUCCGGAGAAGGUGGAACGUCGCCCGGACAGAAUUCCGAAUGUGAGAUACCCGAAGAAGAUGGAACGUCGCAAGGGGGACCGUCUGCGUGUGCAAGGUGUAGGGACCCCUCCCCUUGAUGACACGGAGCGCGCAUCGCUAUCCGAAGCAACUCCAUCCGGAUUCCCCAAGAGGACUCGUGGCGCGCUCCCCUAUCCGGACUCCCUCAGGGAGAAGCACACGAUACUUGCGAUCAUCACACCCGGACGAUAGCAUAUCCUAUCCGGAUAUGUUGUCCGGAUCAUUGACUAAAGUGCACAAGCCUUGCUACGUCAUUCUGACAGCCUGCCACAGCCCACAUUCCACCACCCUCCGAUGGUGUGUUCGGAUGCUCUGUCCGGACAUCUUUUGUAGGGAAGACUGACCAGAACUCAAUCUUGGUUGAAAGCGUGCGUAUCCCAUACUCCUUGCAUUCUGGAUUUGCUUAUGGCAAAGGACUUCAAAGCUUCGGUUCUUCAUGUUUCUGAGCUUUCCAUUGCCUUGCCAUGGAUUCCAAAGAACUCUCCUCAAACUCGGAUUGCUUUGGUGAUAAAAAAGCUAUCAAAACACCAAAACUUAACACAAUUUGAUUAGAAUUGAUUGCAAGGGUCCUUAAUAUGUUAAUUGGGUUAAAAGGUGAUAACUACUACUCAAAAGUGUUUAAAAGAGUUAAUUACAAACUAUGGAAUAACACUUUUUGAGUAGUAAUCACUAUGAUCUCCAAUUCUCUACUUUUGGUUGAUAGGGUUUUUUGAAUGAAGAAGACAAAAGGAAAAGUCCAAUUUAUACCUAAGAUUUCUAAUUGUAAAAAGACUCUUUCACCUUUAAUGAAUUUAAUUAAUGACUUAAUUACUUUAUAAAUUACUAGUUUGCCCCUAGAUUAAAUUUUGGGGUAUUACAUUUUAUAUCCUCCAAAACGGCGUCGUUUUGAUAUUGUAAAUAUUAAAAAAAAAAAAAAUUAAUUGAACCGUCCGGUUCGUUGGUCGGACCGUUGGUUCAACCGGUUCGAUUCCGAUUUAACUUAUUUCCGAGCUAAUUGACUGGAUCAGACUGGAACCAUGACCAGCGGACGGUCAGACCAGCUAAUCCGAUCAAAAUUUUAAAACCAUGGUUAAUUAUCCAUGAAGGGGUGGUGUUGCAUAAAAUUUGAGUCCACCAUAUCUAGGCAUGCUCAAUCAUAUAAAUUUAUAUAACCUUCGACAUCAAGCAUAUUAGGAGAAUGAUAAAAUCAUCACAUCUCAAUCGUCUAUUAUUAAAACUCCUGUAUUGUUGUAAAAUUUAAGAAAAAAUAUAUUUUUAAACAUCUUCAAAUAUUGGGUGUAUGUUAUUCUAUUUAUUAAAUGAACAUUUGAGAGACUUUACUGGAAUUUUUAUUUUUUAUUUUUACUAUGAAUAUCAUAUUUAUUUGUGUAAAACUUUAGAUUUAAAUAUUUGUUUUAACUUAAGAAUUUAAACUCUUCAACAAAGGUAAUCUCAUUUAGCUUUCUAUUUAUUGUAGCCUUGCAACUAAUAUCUAGUUUCAAGUUGAAAUUUUUGUUAAGAGAGAAUUCUAGGCUACAACCAAGAUUUGAAAUAUCGAUAAACAUGGAUAUAUCGGUACUUGGAUUUUAUGAAUAUAUAAGAAAUAUCGGAGAAAUAUCGAUGGAUAUUUUGAUAAAAAUUAUCUAUGGACAAAAAUUAUUCAAAAUUCAUGGGAAUGCUUUAAAAAACACAAAAAAAAAAAAAAAAGAUAAAGUAAGAAUACACAUGUUAAAGUUAUUUUGUAAGUGUAAUUGACAUAACUAUGAUUAAAGAUAACAUUUAUCAAUUUUUAUAAAAAAAAAUAGCUUAAAAAUUCCUUUAAUAUAUUUACAUUCAUUUAUUUUAAAAUUUUAAAAAUACUUUUAUUAAACAUGUUUUAUUAUAUUUUAAAUAAAAAAUUAAAUUUAUUUAUAUAAAUAUUUUAUUAAUAAUUUAUCUUAUCAAAUUAAUUUUAAUUUAUAGAGGAUUAGGGCUUCAUUAAUUUUUUUAUAUUGUAGCAAUUUUUGAGGAAAAUUAUAUUUUUAAUAUUUUAAAAUAAAAACAUUUAAAAUUAAAUAAAAUUAAAAAGAAAAAAAAAUUAAGAGUAAAGUUAUACUAAUUUUUUAAAAUAGGAUUACUGAGAUACAUAUGAAAAGUAGUUAAAAAUAAAUGGAUAAUAUAAAU